rnacentral:rRNA from 1 species
CCUACGGGUGGCAGCAGUGGGGAAUAUUGCACAAUGGGGGAAACCCUGAUGCAGCGACGCCGCGUGAGUGAAGAAGUAUUUCGGUAUGUAAAGCUCUAUCAGCAGGGAAGAUAAUGACGGUACCUGAGGAAGAAGCCCCGGCUAACUACGGGCCAGCAGCCGCGGUAAUACGUAGGGGUCAAGCGGUAUCCGGAUUUCCUGGGUGUAAAGGGGGCGUAGACGGCAUGGCAAGUCUGAAGGGAAAGCCCGGGGCUCAACCGCGGGACUGCUUUGGAAACUGUUAAGCUGGAGUGCAGGAGAGGUAAGUGGAAUGCCUGGUGUAGCGGUGAAAUGCGUAGAUAUUAGGAGGAACACCAGUGGCGAAGGCGGCAUGCUGGACUGUAACUGACGUUGAGGCUCGAAAGCGUGGGGAGCAAACAGGAUUAGAUACCCUAGUAGUC